GGCAGUGUGGCUCAGUGGAAAGAGCACGGGCUUGGGAGUCAGAGGUCAUGGGUUUGAAUCCCAGAUCUGCCA
rfam:Ornithorhynchus anatinus chromosome 2, whole genome shotgun sequence.